GUCGACGAGAGAAUUGCUAGCUUGCUAAUAAUUCUCUAGUGGCGCACGGGUGAGUAACACGUGAGUAACCUGCCCCCGAGAGCGGGAUAGCCCUGGGAAACUGGGAUUAAUACCGCAUAGUAUCGAAAGAUUAAAGCAGCAAUGCGCUUGGGGAUGGGCUCACGGCCUAUUAGUUAGUUGGUGAGGUAACGGCUCACCAAGGCGAUGACGGGUAGCCGGUCUGAGAGGAUGUCCGGCCACACUGGAACUGAGACACGGUCCAGACACCUACGGGUGGCAGCAGUCGAGAAUCAUUCACAAUGGGGGAAACCCUGAUGGUGCGACGCCGCGUGGGGGAAUGAAGGUCUUCGGAUUGUAAACCCCUGUCAUGUGGGAGCAAAUUAAAAAGAUAGUACCACAAGAGGAAGAGACGGCUAACUCUGUGCCAGCAGCCGCGGUAAUACAGAGGUCUCAAGCGUUGUUCGGAAUCACUGGGCGUAAAGCGUGCGUAGGCUGUUUCGUAAGUCGUGUGUGAAAGGCGCGGGCUCAUCCCGCGGACGGCACAUGAUACUGCGAGACUAGAGUAAUGGAGGGGGAACCGGAAUUCUCGGUGUAGCAGUGAAAUGCGUAGAUAUCGAGAGGAACACUCGUGGCGAAGGCGGGUUCCUGGACAUUAACUGACGCUGAGGCACGAAGGCCAGGGGAGCGAAAGGGAUCAGAUACCCCUGUAGUCCUGGCAGUAAACGGUGCACGCUUGGUGUGCGGGGAAUCGACCCCCUGCGUGCCGGAGCUAACGCGUUAAGCGUGCCGCCUGGGGAGUACGGUCGCAAGAUUAAAACUCAAAGAAAUUGACGGGGACCCGCACAAGCGGUGGAGUAUGUGGCUUAAUUCGAUGCAACGCGAAGAACCUUACCUGGGCUUGACAUGUA
rnacentral:rRNA from 1 species